rnacentral:rRNA from 1 species
GAGCUAAUACCGCAUACGUCGUACGGGAGAAAGGAGGGAUCUUCGGACCUUCCACUAUAAGAUGAGCCCAAGCGAGAUUAGUUAGUUGGUAAGGUAAAGGCUUACCAAGGCGACGAUCUCUGGCUGGUGUGAGAGGAUGAUCAGCCACACUGGGACUGAGACACGGCCCAGACUCCUACGGGAGGCAGCAGUGGGGAAUAUUGGACAAUGGGCGAAAGCCUGAUCCAGCCAUGCCGCGUGUGUGAAGAAGGCCUUCGGGUUGUAAAGCACUUUAAGCGAGGAGGAAGGCUGCUGGGUUAAUACCCUUGAGCAG